UUUCUGGUGGCUCUGACGGUAAAGAACCUGCCUGCAAUGCAGGAAACCUGGGUUUGAUCCCUUGUCGGGAAU
rnacentral:tRNA from 1 species